rnacentral:rRNA from 1 species
GAUGAACGCUGGCGGCGUGCUUAACACAUGCAAGUCGAACGGGAAUUACUUUAUUGAAACUUCGGUCGAUUUAAUUUAAUUCUAGUGGCGGACGGGUGAGUAACGCGUGGGUAACCUGCCUUGUACAGGGGGAUAACAGUCAGAAAUGACUGCUAAUACCGCAUAAGCGCACAGAGCUGCAUGGCUCGGUGUGAAAAACUCCGGUGGUAUAAGAUGGACCCGCGUUGGAUUAGCUAGUUGGUGGGGUAACGGCCCACCAAGGCGACGAUCCAUAGCCGGCCUGAGAGGGUGAACGGCCACAUUGGGACUGAGACACGGCCCAGACUCCUACGGGAGGCAGCAGUGGGGAAUAUUGCACAAUGGGGGAAACCCUGAUGCAGCGACGCCGCGUGAAGGAAGAAGUAUCUCGGUAUGUAAACUUCUAUCAGCAGGGAAGAAAAUGACGGUACCUGACUAAGAAGCCCCGGCUAACUACGUGCCAGCCGCCGCCGUAACAC